CAGGCCUAACACAUGCAAGUCGAACGGUAACAGCACUUCGGUGGCUGACGAGUGGCGCACGGGUGCGUAACGCGUAUACAAUCUACCUUUUACAGGGGGAUAGCCCAGAGAAAUUUGGAUUAAUACCCCAUGGCAUAUAUUUAUGGCAUCAUAUAUAUAUUAAAGAUUCAUCGGUAAGAGAUGAGUAUGCGUUCUAUUAGCUAGUUGGUGCGGUAACGGCGCACCAAGGCUACGAUAGAUAGGGGCCCUGAGAGGGGGAUCCCCCACACUGGUACUGAGACACGGACCAGACUCCUACGGGAGGCAGCAGUGAGGAAUAUUGGACAAUGGGCGAGAGCCUGAUCCAGCCAUGCCGCGUGCAGGAAGACUGCCCUAUGGGUUGUAAACUGCUUUUAUACGGGAAGAAACACCUCCACGCGUGGGGGCUUGACGGUACCGUAAGAAUAAGGAUCGGCUAACUCCGUGCCAGCAGCCGCGGUAAUACGGAGGAUCCAAGCGUUAUCCGGAAUCAUUGGGUUUAAAGGGUCCGUAGGUGGAUAAUUUAGUCAGAGGUGAAAUCCUGCAGCUCAACUGUAGAAUUGCCUUUGAUACUGGUCGUCUUGAGUCAUUGUGAAGUGGUUGGAAUAUGUAGUGUAGCGGUGAAAUGCAUAGAUAUUACAUAGAACACCGAUUGCGAAGGCAGAUUACUAAUAAUAUACUGACACUGAGGGACGAAAGCGUGGGGAGCGAACAGGAUUAGAUACCCUGGUAGUCCACGCCGUAAACGAUGGAUACUAGCUGUUCGAUCGGACUUCGGUCUGAGUGGCUAAGCGAAAGUGAUAAGUGACCCACCUGGGGAGUACGUUCGCAAGAAUGAAACUCAAAGGAAUUGACGGGGGCCCGCACAAGCGGUGGAGCAUGUGGUUUAAUUCGAUGAUACGCGAGGAACCUUACCAGGGCUUAAAUGUAAGUUGCAUAGAGUAGAGAUAUUCUUUUCUUCGGACUACUUACAAGGUGCUGCAUGGUUGUCGUCAGCUCGUGCCGUGAGGUGUCAGGUUAAGUCCUAUAACGAGCGCAACCCCUGUUGUUAGUUGCCAGCGAGUCAAGUCGGGAACUCUAACAAGACUGCCAGUGCAAACUGUGAGGAAGGUGGGGAUGACGUCAAAUCAUCACGGCCCUUACGUCCUGGGCUACACACGUGCUACAAUGGUAGGUACAGAGAGCAGCCACUGCGCAAGGUGGAGCGAAUCUACAAAACCGGUCUCAGUUCGGAUCGGGGUCUGCAACUCGACCCCGUGAAGCUGGAAUCGCUAGUAAUCGGAUAUCAGCCAUGAUCCGGUGAAUACGUUCCCGGGCCUUGUACACACCGCCC
rnacentral:rRNA from 1 species